AUUUUGGUGGGAAAGCAACAAUCAACAAUUUCAGCGUCUGGAAUCCUGCUGCUGAGAUCAAGAUGAACUGAAAUGUUAAUGGAUCGAUUUCUUCAGGUGUUACAGAUAUCCUUGUAAUGUUCAGAUCUAUCAAAGAGGGCUGUCUAAUGAAGAGAGCGAGUGCUGUGCGGUGCACAUUAGGAGAAAAUCAGUCCAGCUAUUCAUCCAGGUGAUGCUCUGCCUGCAGGCAAUGAGCAGGGAGUGGGAAGCGGAAAACCUGGAGUGGAGCCGAGGGAAUAUAGAAUGCUUUAAGCUAG